rnacentral:rRNA from 1 species
GAUGAACGCUGGCGGCGUGCCUAAUACAUGCAAGUCGAGCGAACGGACGAGAAGCUUGCUUCUCUGAUGUUAGCGGCGGACGGGUGAGUAACACGUGGAUAACCUACCUAUAAGACUGGGAUAACUUCGGGAAACCGGAGCUAAUACCGGAUAAUAUUAUGAACCGCAUGGUUCAAAAGUGAAAGACGGUCUUGCUGUCACUUAUAGAUGGAUCCGCGCUGCAUUAGCUAGUUGGUAAGGUAACGGCUUACCAAGGCAACGAUGCAUAGCCGACCUGAGAGGGUGAUCGGCCACACUGGAACUGAGACACGGUCCAGACUCCUACGGGAGGCAGCAGUAGGGAAUCGUCCGCAAUGGGCGAAAGCCUGACGGAGCAACGCCGCGUGAGUGAUGAAGGUCUUCGGAUCGUAAAACUCUGUUAUUAGGGAAGAACAUAUGUGUAAGUAACUGUGCACAUCUUGACGGUACCUAAUCAGAAAGCCACGGCUAACUACGUG